GACGAACGCUGGCGGCGUGCCUAAUACAUGCAAGUAGGACGCAGUUGCGAACGGGUGAGUAACGCGUAGGUAACUACCUAUUAGAGGGGGAUAACUAUUGGAAACGAUAGCUAAUACCGCAUACUAGUAGAUGGACCUUCGUUGUAUUAGCUAGUAGGUAGGGUAAUGGCCUACCUAGGCAACGAUACAUAGCCGACCUGGAGGGGUGAACGGACAAAAGUGUUCAGAGACACGGCCCAGAGUCCUACGGUAGGCAGCAGUAGGGAAUGUUCGGCAAUGGGGGGAACCCUGACCGAGCAACGCCGCGGGAGUGAAGAAGGUUUUCGGAUCGUAAAGCUCUGUUGUUAAGGAAGCGGUACUUAACCAGAAAGGGACGGCUAACUACGUGCCAGCAGCCGCGGUAAUUC
rnacentral:rRNA from 1 species